rnacentral:rRNA from 1 species
UACGGAGGGAGCAAGCGUUGUUCGGAUUUACUGGGCGUAAAGGGCGCGUAGGCGGCCUCCGCAAGUCAGUUGUGAAAUCUCCGAGCUUAACUCGGAAAGGUCAACUGAUACUGCGGGGCUAGAGUGCGGAAGGGGCAACUGGAAUUCUCGGUGUAGCGGUGAAAUGCGUAGAUAUCGAGAGGAACACCUGCGGCGAAGGCGGGUUGCUGGGCCGACACUGACGCUGAUGCGCGAAAGCCAGGGGAGCGAACGGG